CCGGAAACGGGACCACGUACCGGUAGCUGGUCGCUGGAGCUCUUAUUAAAGCGAGUCACGCUGUAAUUCUUCGCGAUCCGCGUUUCAAAGGGCGGCGAACUAUAACGAUUUCAUUAGUCCUAGCUCACGACGCGGAAUUCCCGUGCACAGGUCGUCUCUGCGAGUCGUUUCAUUCGAGUCCCUCUCCGGCUCACGGCCAAUGAAAAUGCGAUCGAGCUUCUGCUUCAGGGCCUUCUCUGCUCGCUCGUUUUCUGUGUCUGCCGGAGGCCAGCUCGAUUAAUCGUCGAUGGAAGCUCGCUGGAAGAAAGUUAUCAGGAUAAUCUUAGAAGUGGCGCUUGAGAAAAGGAAUAAUUAUCAAUGAUGAUGAAACAGCUCCCACGGUGAAAAAGUUAUAAGACUAAGCAUUUCAGUGGAACCAGCCACGGUGUCACUGUGCAGAAUCCCCAUGCACAAUGAACACGAGUCCAACGAGUUACCGCAAUGAUGUCGUUUCCUACCCGGAAGCGUUGACCAGGGUAUCGUAAAGAAGUUCAGAGGAGCUUCGAAAAUGUUCACCGGCAAGCUAGUUCUUACCUGUGCAUGCCUGAAAGAAAUUGAAUCCACAGUUUCGCGGGAAACACCAGAGGUCUGGCAACGUUCGAGUUCUGUGAACAUCUUGAAGCCAUCUUGGCACAGCCAUUAAAGAGAUCAACGAGCUAAUAGGAUCAUAAUAAGAACUAACGGGUCCAUUGGAAUGUUCAAUCACUUCUCCAACCACCGGUUACGGUAACUUAAGGGUCUGCAAUACUACUUAAAGGAAAGAAUAUAAAUUUUCUUUUCUUAAAACUGCUCACGUGACUAUCGAAUUUCUGAUGGAAUGUUAAAGUUCUAUAUCCAUGAAAGGAAACCAUUUCUCAACGGAAUCUUCGUACAGUAAAGCCAGCAGAAGAAAAGAAGGGAAAAGAAAGGACGUGAAGGAAGUUUCGCAGAGACGUAAUAACUCUGGUAAAGAUUAGACGGAUAAGGGGGAACCGUCAAGACGUCUACCUCGCGAGAUAAGAUUCGGCAAAGAUGCUUUGAAGGCUUUGGUAUCGGUAAUGCAACUUUGACCGACCAUUCGUGCAGUAUCGAAUCGCUCAAUUACCAGGUUCAGGUAUAAACCGUGCAACGAGUCGCGUAUGCGGCGAAAAGGAAGUGAGAAAAUGGA